rnacentral:misc_RNA from 1 species
GUGGUGAUUUUGCAGUUGAAGUUGGAAGGUACUUCAUUCAGAAUUGAUUUGCAGCUGUUUGGCAUAUUGGUUUUAUUCCUUUUUGUGCUUUUCAUGUUCAUUUUGUUUCAUUUUUAUCAAGAAUUGAGUUUAGGAUUUCAAUAUUCAAAUGCGGUCAUCGUGCUUCUCUUUCAAAACUGUAAUUUAGCAUCCAAUAGUAUCUCUUUCCAUGAUAUAUGGAUGAGAACAGUUGGUGUUCAUAAAUUUGAGUCAAACUCUGAUCAUUCAGGCCAAGGAGAUGAAAUUUUCUUUUAGUUUCCUCUGAUUGCAAAGCGAAAAAAUUUCUUGGAUCAAGUUUUUUUUUUUUUUUUUGUGGCUUGUUAAUGCUUAAAUUGUUACAUGGCUG